CAAGUAAGGGGGACUGCUUUCUCUUUUAUAGAACCCGAGACAUCACUUGUACAUGCUUUUUAUCCCAACUCCCUGCCAAAUGCCUGGCAGCCUGACAAAUCCAUUUCUAUCACACUUGGACAGACCAAAUGAUACUUCUCAUUUUCUCAGCUAUCUGGAGCACAUCAAAUAGUGAUAUAGUUACUGCUUUUUUGGAUGAGAGGAAAAUUAACUUCUCUGGAGACUUCUUCUGACAAGAUGUUUUUGUGCCUCCUUCCAUGAUGAAAAAGGUGACUUUUUCCCUCCUAGAAGAGAUCUCAUGAAGACAGAUGUCAGAUCUCCAGCCUGUUUUUCAGAUGUCUUUUCAUGCACUGUAUUUGAAGUGAAGUCUCCAUCAAAAUUUUUUUCCCCUGUCUAUCUACCAGAUGUCAACAGAACAUUUCCUCCAGAAUUUCUCACAGGUCUUCUUCUGCAGUUGUGAGCAAGGUUGUGCAUCUGGGAUAAGUCAGAGCUGGACCUUGGAGCCUUGGGACAGAGCUUAUACUGGAACAAAGCUGCUGGAGUGCAGACAUUGCUUCUGGCAGUCACUGAUACAGCAAGUCAGGCUGGGUCACUCCAAAGGUCCAACAGCACACCUGUCAGCAAGGGCUGGCUGCAGGAGAAAAAACCCUUCGAACACCAGCUCAGUCCCUGGAUAUAUUUUUCCUCCCUUUUUACAAAAUUAAUUAUUUUGAGGACAUCCACUCAGAUUACCUAAAAGACUGUGCCUACAACGUAGCUGGCUUGCCACACUCACACAUCUGCAUGUAAACAUUAAAACAAGAGUAAGUUCUUUGAAAGAGAAAAAUUUUACGUGAUCAUUUACCCAUUAUAAAAAAAAAUACGUGACUCCAGGUGUAUACAUCACACACAAAGCAAUAGCACAGUCUAGUGCUUGACACAAAUGAUCUUAGAUAAAAAAAUACUGAGUGAAAAUUGUGUGGAUCAGAGGAGGUGAUCAUAGGAAAAUUAAGAAAUUGAUAUGUGUGAGUAGCCACUUUAUUUAUUGAUUACUCCAUAAGAAUAAGGCAAAAAGAUUAGCUGCCAGGAAAUAUUAUCUUCCAGACCACACUUUAAUAUUCACUGCAUUCAGUUUCACAGCAGCAGAAGUAAGAGUGCACAUAUGCCCCUGCUCUAUCUCAGGGUAUUAGUUCAUGAAUUCAAAUAAUGAGUGUAAUUAGCAGUAAACUUGGGAUACUUUCUGUUAGAAAAUACUCCCUAUACUUUCUUAACUAUUCGUUUGCAUUUACACAAUAUGGUAGAAAUGUUAGUAUUCCCAACUUAAGAAUUAUCCCUGGAAAAUUUAAAUUACUCCUAUAUAGCUUUAUUUAUGUGGAUAAAGUGUCCAGGUAGUGCAACAAUUUUAUAUUUGAGUUCACUCAGUAUUUAAAUUUUAAACAUUAGACGGGUUCUCAUAAGUAGUAAUGAGUAACCAGAGGCCAGACUACAGAAUCAUGCAUCAGCUUUCAUUCAGUCUAACACAGAUUGAUCUCUGCUUAAAUUGAGCGAGAAAUUUUCCUGAGCAAAUCUUCAGACUUAGGCCUUUUCAGAUAAAUAUGCUCUCUACUGAUAUAAAAAGGAAUUCUUCUCUGUCUGCAAGAAAGCAGGACUUUCUCAUUCACAUAUAUGGGAAAGUCUCAUUGCAUAAUAGCCCUGUGCAAAUUUAACAGAAGUUCAUACUUCAGUCCAAAGAAAAGUAGUGACAGUGAUGAGCAGUAGAGCACUAAGUCCUUUCCACAGUGAGAGCUUGGUUACUUACACUACUGUGUGUCAGCCAUUGUUUGAUCACAGGACUACAGAAUGGGCUAAGCUGGAAGGCACCUCUGGAGAUCUUCUAGUCCAAUUCCCCUGCUCAAAGCAGGGUUACCAAGAGUAGGUACCUAGGACCGUGUCCAGAUGGACUUUUAAUAUCUUCAAGGAUAAAGAUUCCAAAAACUCUCAGGGCAACCUGCUCAGUGCUCAGUCACCCUCAUAGUAAAAAAAACGUGUUUCCUGAUGUUGAGAGAA